AGUGAACGCUGGCGGUAGGCCUGACACAUGCAAGUCGAACGGCAGCACAGUAAGAGCUUGCUCUUACGGGUGGCGAGUGGCGGACGGGUGAGGAAUACAUCGGAAUCUACUUUUUCGUGGGGGAUAACGUAGGGAAACUUACGCUAAUACCGCAUACGACCUACGGGUGAAAGCAUGGGAUCUUCGGACCUUGCGCGAUUGAAUGAGCCGAUGUCGGAUUAGCUAGUUGGCGGGGUAAAGGCCCACCAAGGCGACGAUCCGUAGCUGGUCUGAGAGGAUGAUCAGCCACACUGGAACUGAGACACGGUCCAGACUCCUACGGGAGGCAGCAGUGGGGAAUAUUGGACAAUGGGCGCAAGCCUGAUCCAGCCAUACCGCGUGGGUGAAGAAGGCCUUCGGGUUGUAAAGCCCUUUUGUUGGGAAAGAAAAGCAGCAGGUUAAUACCCCGCUGUUCUGACGGUACCCAAAGAAUAAGCACCGGCUAACUUCGUG
rnacentral:rRNA from 1 species